GGGAAGGUGGCUCAGUGGUAGAGUACUUGCCUUGCAUGCAUGAGGCCAUGGGUUCGAUUCCUCAGCAUCACA
rnacentral:tRNA from 1 species